rnacentral:rRNA from 1 species
UACGGGGGGGGCAAGCGUUGUUCGGAAUUACUGGGCGUAAAGGGUUUGUAGGUGGCCUGCUAAGUCGGACGUGAAAUCCCUCAGCUCAACUGGGGAACUGCGUCUGAGACUGGCGGGCUCGAGGGCCGGAGAGGAACGCGGAAUUCCAGGUGUAGCGGUGAAAUGCGUAGAUAUCUGGAGGAACACCGGUGGCGAAGGCGGCGUUCUGGACGGCACCUGACACUGAAAAACGAAAGCCAGGGGAG